GACGAACGCUGGCGGCGUGCUUAACACAUGCAAGUCGAGCGAUGAAGUCUCUUCGGAGAUGGAUUAGCGGCGGACGGGUGAGUAACACGUGGGUAACCUGCCUCAUAGAGGGGAAUAGCCUUUCGAAAGGAAGAUUAAUACCCCAUAAGAUUGUAGUUUCGCAUGAACCAGCAAUUAAAGGAGUAAUCCGCUAUGAGAUGGACCCGCGUCGCAUUAGCUAGUUGGGGUGGUAACGGCUCACCAAGGCGACGAUGCGUAGCCGACCUGAGGGGGUGAUCGGCCACAUUGGGACUGAGACACGGCCCAGACUCCUACGGGAGGCAGCAGUGGGGAAUAUUGCACAAUGGGGGAGACCCUGAUGCAGCAACGCCGCGUGAGUGAUGACGGUCUUCGGAUUGUAAAGCUCUGUCUUCAGGGACGAUAAUGACGGUACCUGAGGAGGAAGCCACGGCUAACUACGUGCCAGCCGCCGCGGUAA
rnacentral:rRNA from 1 species